UACAGAGGUGGCAAGCGUUGUUCGGAAUUACUGGGCGUAAAGGGCGCGUAGGCGGCCUCUUUAGUCAGACGUGAAAUCCCCCCGGCUUAACCUGGGAACUGCGUCUGAUACUGGGAGGCUUGAGUUCGGGAGAGGGAUGUAGAAUUCCAGGUGUAGCGGUGAAAUGCGUAGAUAUCUGGAGGAACACCGGUGGCGAAGGCGCAUCCUGGACCGGCAUUGACGCUGAGGCGCGAAAGCCAGGGGAGCAAACGGG
rnacentral:rRNA from 1 species